GAUCUUGACUUCCUACUUGGAAUACCUGUGGUAAUUCUAGAGCUAAUACAUGCAAAUAAGCUCCAACCUCUGGGCGGAGCGCAUUUAUUAGAACAAAACCAAUCGGCUUCGGCCGUAGUUUGGUGAAUCUGAAUAACUCAGCUGAUCGCACGGUCCUCGCACCGGCGACGUAUCUUUCAAGUGUCUGCCUUAUCAACUUUCGAUGGUAGUUUACACGCCUACCAUGGUUGUAACGGGUAACGGAGAAUAAGGGUUCGCCUCAAGACGGACAACUGCGAAAGCAUUUGCCAAAAAUAAGGAAGGCAGCAGGCGCGCAAAUUACCCACUCUCAGCUCGAGGAGGUAGUGACGAAAAAUAACGAGACGGUUCUCUAUGAGGUCCGUCAUCGGAAUGGGUACAAUUUAAACCCUUUAACGAGGAUCUAUUGGAGGGCAAGUCUGGUGCCAGCAGCCGCGGUAAUUCCAGCUCCAAUAGCGUAUAUUAAAGUUGUUGCGGUUAAAAAGCUCGUAGUUGGAUCUGCGGUCUCGCGAGCUGGUCCCCCACAGGGUGUGACUGG
rnacentral:rRNA from 1 species